GAUGAACGCUGGCGGCGUGCCUAAUACAUGCAAGUCGAGCGAACAGACGAGGAGCUUGCUCCUCUGACGUUAGCGGCGGACGGGUGAGUAACACGUGGAUAACCUACCUAUAAGACUGGGAUAACUUCGGGAAACCGGAGCUAAUACCGGAUAAUAUAUUGAACCGCAUGGUUCAAUAGUGGAAGACGGUUUUGCUGUCACUUAUAGAUGGAUCCGCGCCGCAUUAGCUAGUUGGUAAGGUAACGGCUUACCAAGGCAACGAUGCGUAGCCGACCUGAGAGGGUGAUCGGCCACACUGGAACUGAGACACGGUCCAGACUCCUACGGGAGGCAGCAGCAGGGAAUCUUCCGCAAUGGGCGAAAGCCUGACGGAGCAACGCCGCGUGAGUGAUGAAGGUCUUCGGAUCGUAAAACUCUGUUAUUAGGGAAGAACAAAUGUGUAAGUAACUAUGCACGUCUUGACGGUACCUAAUCAGAAAGCCACGGCUAACUACGUG
rnacentral:rRNA from 1 species